CUGAAAAAGAUAUGGCAAACUACUGUUGUAUCUUUGCCCAAAAAACCCCAAAUGGGGUCAUGGAGAGCAGGACAUGACUGAACCAACAAAGGGACUAUUUUGUCACAAUGAGGGCCUGGUUGGAGUUAUGUAACAUAAAUUUGUAGUGGACUCAGCAUAAUUUCGAGGUUUUCUCCAGCUUCCUUCAGAAAUAGGAGUGAAGCCAGCAAUUGAUGGGAGUAAUCCAAGGCUGAGGCUUAGCAGGGCAGGAACAAGGAUAGGAAAAAAGAGCAAGAAACUUGAGAGAAGAGGACAAUGUGGUUAACUCCUUCACUGAGGGUUGAAAAGACCAAGGCAAGCAGAAGUUCAGUGAUUUAAGAUCACAGUGUCUGACGUGAAAUUCAAACUGAAAUCUUCCCAACUCCAGGACCAGCUCUCUAUCCACAUUGCUACUUAGCGUCCUCAAAUGUAUGUUGAAAUCCCCAAAUUAGGACAGGAGUUAGGGAGGACAGACUGAGCGAAGUACAAAACUACUUGAGAAUAAAAGUGGAUGUUGGUAUUCACCAGCCACCAGACUCUUGAUUGAUAAAUAUGGAUUGAGUGAACUUGCAAGGAGGAGAGCAUCCUGCUGAGUGAUGGAGGAGCGUGGUAAAGGAGGGAAAGAAAAAA